rnacentral:rRNA from 1 species
CCUACGGGAGGCUGCAGUGAGGAAUAUUGGUCAAUGGUCGGGAGACUGAACCAGCCAAGCCGCGUGAGGGAGGAAGGUACAGAGUAUCGUAAACCUCUUUUGUCAGGGAACAAAGACUGGGACGCGUCCCCGGAUGAGUGUACCUGAAGAAAAAGCAUCGGCUAACUCCGUGCCAGCAGCCGCGGUAAUACGGAGGGUGCGAGCGUUGUCCGGAUUUAGUUGGGUGAAAGGGUGCGCAGGCGGUUUGUUAAGUCAGCGGGAAAGCCCCGGGGCUAAACUCCGGCCCGCCGUUGAAACUGGCAGUCUCGAGUUGGAGAGAGGUAUGCGGAAUGCGCGGUGUAGCGGUGAAAUGCAUAGAUAUCGCGCAGAACUCCGAUGGCGAAGGCAGCAUGCCGGCUCCACACUGACGCUGAGGCACGAAAGCGUGGGUAUCGAACAGGAUUAGAUACCCCAGUAGUC